CGCUGGCGGCGUGCCUAAUACAUGCAAGUCGAACGGGUCUUUUCUAUGGAAGCUUGCUUCCACUGAAAAGAUAGUGGCGAACGGGUGAGUAACACGUGGGUAACCUGCCCAUAAGAGGGGGGAUAACAUCCGGAAACGGGUGCUAAUACCGCAUAGUUUUCUUGAUCGCAUGAUCGGGAAAGGAAAGACGGCCUUUGUGCUGUCGCUUAUGGAUGGACCCGCGGCGUAUUAGUUAGUUGGUGAGGUAACGGCUCACCAAGACGAUGAUACGUAGCCGACCUGAGAGGGUGAUCGGCCACAUUGGGACUGAGACACGGCCCAAACUCCUACGGGAGGCAGCAGUAGGGAAUCUUCCGCAAUGGACGAAAGUCUGACGGAGCAACGCCGCGUGAGUGAAAGAAGGUUUUCGGAUCGUAAAACUCUGUUGUCAGAGAAGAACAAGUUGGAGAGUAACUGCUCCAGCCUUGACGGUAUCUGACCAGAAAGCCACGGCUAACUACGUGCCAGCCGCGGC
rnacentral:rRNA from 1 species